rnacentral:lncRNA from 10 species
GUUCAGCCUUGGAGGGGAGCUCUGAGGCUGUGCCUCGGUCUGGCUCCUGGGGAUGUGCAGGCUGAUGUCGCAGUAACAUGUCCAGAGCCUGGCUUGGUUUCGCUGUGUGCUAGCACCAUAUUAUCCAGCGUGGGCUUGAAUAUGGCCCCUUGCACUGGGGAGGGAGGGAGAAGCCCCAUGGCAGCUCUCCCAGUUAAGCUGAACAAAGGUUAUUAAAAGUUUGGCCAAUACUUUCCCUGCCUGAAGCAUCCGAGUUAUUCUGAUGGCUCAGGGAGGUCCCGAGUACCUGGUUUUAGGAACCUGUGAGCUCUUUAGUCACAAAAGCCAUUUGCUUGUCUUUAUAUGUUUUUAUUUCUAUUUAUCUGCCCAGCAAAGCCCUGCUGUUGUUCACACAAUCUUUUUUUGGUUCAGAUGAAUAACUUAAUAGACUUUCAUAGACAAGACACUGUAAGCAGUUGAGUCAAUUGGGAAACCCAGGUUUCAACCUGCACAGUUAAAAGGAAAGCAAGAAAACACGCCACAGAAAUGCAUCAAAACUCACCGCAGAAAUCCAUCAAAGCACACAUUGUUUGGGAGCAGGAAUUCAGAGCCGCUCCACCCAGUGUGAAAUUGUAUCCUCCCUGCCAAACUGAAGACACUAAUUUUCCUUUUCAACUUUGCCCAACAAUGUUAACUGUUGAGUUUCGAGGGACCACUUCAUCUACGUGAUAUCACUUAAAUUUACUGUUGCCAUUCACAAUGCGGCACUUGGAGAUACAAAGUGAUUUGGCCAGGGGCCCACUGCUGGUAGCUGCAGGGGAGGGAUUCGAAUGCGGGUCUGUCUGCCUCAGAGUUUCUUGUUUCAUUCUCAGUCCAUACAACGCCCCACACUCACUCCCACCUGAGUUUUAGAAACAAAGUCUUGAUUCUUGCCUCUGGAGAUAAGUUCAAGAUAUUAAUAAAUGCAAGAUAUUAUCUAAUAUUGUGAAGUGGAAAAAGGCAGGAUUGUGUGUGUGAUCUCAUUUUUUUUUGUAAAAAGAAAGUCUCCAUAAAGGAAAUACACAUAUAUUAAUAGAAAGAUCACCAGGUGGGGGAGGUGGCAGAUUCUAGAUGAUAUUUUAUUAUUUUUUUCUACCUUUCACCUUCACAUAUGUAGUAUGCCGUCACUACCCCAACCUUACAUCAUUGGAGUCAUUCAUUAAACCCCAAUCUGUGUGAGUCACUGCGGAAGUGAGGCUAACAGAAGCCCACACUGAAGGCCGCGUUCCUUCGUGGCGCCGUCCCAUGCCAAAGCUGCUGUUCCCACGUGGCUACGGAGCUCUGGAGAUGAAGUGAGUGACACCAAGGAGCUGAAUGUUGAAUUCCAUGUAAUUUUAAUUAACAUUUAAAUAGCCGCGUGCGGGUAGUAACUACCGUAUUGGCCAGUACAAUUAGUAACAGGGAUGUUUUAAAACACACAUUUAAAUGAAUCACAGGUGAAGUCGGCUGUGCCCGUCUGACUUGGCAGACAGGGGCCGACAACUGGGCAACUGCGCAGACCUUCUCUGGCAUCACACACAGCGCAGGACGGCGCGGGACCCGAGCAGCUGGCUUACCUGAAUUGUGGCAGCAGCAGUAACAACCCCGAACUAGCUUCAGGGUGUGGAUUUAAUUACAGAAGCCGGAGGAGGGCAGGCACUGGCUGUCUUCAAUCUUUCUCAGUGACCUCCACCUGUCUGCUUCCAACUGAGUAAAAGUCUGACUUGAUGGCUUCAUGAUGAUCUAAUUGAUGAGGAAGUACUUUUGUUUAUACUACCUUCAUCCAAGACACAAUUUCCUGUUAAAUAUUUCAAUAUGAAGACUGCCUGUUUGUUUAAUGAUUUUUUAAAAACAAAUUUACCGCCAGAAUUAGUGCAUGAAGGUCCCGAGGCCGUGGCUGCAUCCUAAAUGCCCCAGCAAUGAGCAGAGGGGAGCCCAGCCCCACCCUCUUAAUGUAGCUCUGGUCCCUAACGCGAUGCUUCUAAUCUUAUGAGCCUUGACUAGUUUUUAAAUCCAGGAGCACCAGAGCUCCAAUCACAAAGUCCUGUAUUCUGUCUAGGAUCUUGGUUAAAGCAAUGAACGUGUCCCUUGCUUUGCUUUUGCCCCAGAGACCUCUAAUUGCCAACAUUUCACCUUAAAAAUCUCUUGCAAACCUUAAUUCUCAAAACCCUUCUGUAACAACAUAGACAGGAAGACCACUUCUAGCGCUUUUCCAUUUAUUUUUAUAUUCAUAAUUUUAUUCGUUUGUUGGGAAAUUUAAGGCAUAUAGAAGUUAAAACCACAGCCAAGCCUCAGGAGAUGCACAUGUUCAAAGAUUUCAGAGUGCAGAGAGUCAUUUCAUUUUUUACGAAGCACGUGCUCUGCUUCCGGACGGCGCUAAGUCGGCUGUGUGCCCGGGCGCCGGCAGUUGCGGUUGUCACAUGGGCCUGAGGGCAGUGGACAGCGGAGGGCAAGUCAAGGAACCACACUGACAGUAAUCACCCUGGCUUCAGUGUUUCCAUGAAGUGCUCUUAGAUGCAAUGAUUGUGAAGUGGGAAAAUCAUGAGUGGCCACCUGGGCGAGCCUCACUGGCCGACAUCCCUGCAUCUGAGCAUCUCUGCGGUUGCUACUGUCCGGUAAUUUCGGUCUGUUCCGGGCACCUGGAUCAAAGUCAGAGGCCCUCCCUCAGGGCUCCUCUUCAACUGGCCUCCGCACUAGGGUCCUAUCUUGGGCAGGAUCCUGGAGGCUCACCCGCUUCUUCCCAGGAUGGAAAAGUCGUCUGGGCUGCUUGUGUCUGAUGAGGAACUUGUUUGACAGGUGAGAGGCACAGAGCGGAUGAGUGGAUUCACGUGGAACCAAGAGUUCCCAAACUGCCUGAGCCUGAGACUCACCAGUUCCCAAACCGCCUGCGCCUGAGACUCACCGGUUCCCAAACCGCCUGCACUUGAGACUCAGGGGUUCCCAAACCGCCUGGGCCCGAGACUCACCGGUUCCCAAACCGCCUGCGCCUGAGACUCACCGGUUCGCAAACCGCCUGCAUUUGAGACUCACCGGUUCCCAAACCGCCUGGGCCUGAGACUCACCGGCUCCCAAACCACCUGCACCUGAAACUCACCAGUUGCCAAACCACCUGCGCCCGGAACUUACUGGCUCCCAGACCGCUGCGCAUGAGACUCGCUGGGGGCGUUACUCACAACGCAGGCUCCUGGGGCCCUCCAGAGACUCCGGUGUCAGCGAGCUCAUGGCGCCCACCUCAAGUAACACUGGCCUCGGGCACUGAUUCUCAACCCUGGCUAACCACUAAAAAUUUACUCAAGGAGCUUUUAAAAAGUAUCAGUGCCUAGGACACAACACAGGUUAAUUGAAUAAGAACUUCGGGAGGAGACUCUAGCACCAACCAGAGAAAGCUGAAUACACUCCCUGGCCAGUUCCAUAGGAUGUUCCGAUUCCAGCUACUCGCCUCCAGUGUCCCCAGACAGCAGCCUCCGGCAGGGCUCACCUGGGACCUUCCGUUUUCUCAUCAUAAAUCCCCAGACCCCUGCCUUUGAGUCUCUGCUGGACACACACCCUGGAGCCCUGCCUUUGAGCCUCUGCUGGACACACACCCCGGACCCCUGCCGUUGAGCCUGUGCUGAACACUCGCAGUGGUGACCGACGCCCCCACCACAGCAAGCCCCGAAUACACAGCCUCUGUGUGUUCCCACUGAGUUGGUCUUUGUUUAUUUUCACACUUAAAUUACACACUAUAAAAAAACCACAGUUGUUAAUAUUGCCACCCAUCUCACCAAAAAAGCCUCUAUAUAUUGUAAAACUGUCAAGCUCAAGGUGAUGAAUAAAA